AUGCACCAGAUACAAGCCUGACAGUCCACCUCGGUUUUCUAUGGCUGCAUGGCUUCAAACGGUGCAAAAGCAACAUUAGCCCCGAGAUUUAAGCUUUUCAGUGGGAAGUAACACUGUUGAGUUAUGGCUCAGGGGCACAUUG
ensembl:scaRNA small Cajal body-specific RNA 1